ensembl:lncRNA
GGGGUCAUGGGUCCGAGUGGGGGGUCAUGGGUCCGGUUCUUUCUGGGUGCAGGUGGGGGUAAGAGGUGUUGUUGGGAGGGUUGGCCUGGGUCUGGAGAGGUCUGACUGCUGAGGUUGGGUUGGGAGGUCUCUUGGUUGGUUGGCUGGACUGUUUGGGUAGUUGUUUGUUGACUAGGCAGGAAGGUUGGCUGGGUUUGACCUGGCUUAGGCUCGCCGCAGAAGUGGCUCUGGUGGGGGAGAAUGCAGCGGGGAGUAGGGGGAGAGCAGGGGGCUCAGAGGGACUAGCUCUGGGGGAGGCUUUGGAGGAACGGCUGGAGCUACGAUUAUGUCUCUUAGAGCUGGUGUGACAGCGUGAGUGGUCAGAAUGUCUGUUAGUGUGUUUGCGGUCACUGUGUUUGCGAGUGUGUGUGCGGUUUCUGUGUGUGCGUUCACUGUGUGUGCGAGUAGGUUUAGCCUUUUCAGUAUGUUUCUGAGACUCAUUCUUGUCCGAAUGUUUGUCAGUGAGCUUCUGGCUAUUGGACAGUGUGUGUGUGGGUUUGCACAGUGUGUGAGUGGCUUUCUUGCUAGAGGACUCUUUGGCAACAGUCAGGCUGUCGGCAGGGAUACCGGAGGGCUUGGUGGCAGAAUGGGGAAUGAGUUUGGGUCUAGUAUAUUCUGGGGCUGUUGAACUGGGUUUGGGGUGUGUGCGUGAAGGUUUAAGUUUAGUUUGAGAGUCAGAGUGUGUGUAUGUGAGUUUCGGCUUAGUGUUGGAUUGUGUGGGUGAGGGUGUGAUGAUGUGUGUCUGGUUGACAGUGUGUGUUUCAGAAGACUUGAUGACUUCAGGAGAUGAUAGACAGAUGACAGGGGCAGUGUGACCCUCAGGGGGGCUGGACACCUUUCUCUUCUUCACCUGCUGCUGACCCCUCACCUCUGACCCCUCAACGUUAGAACAACGUUUUCC